rnacentral:rRNA from 1 species
UACGUAGGGUGCAAGCGUUGUCCGGAAUCAUUGGGCGUAAAGCGCGCGUAGGUGGCCAUUUAAGUCCGCUGUGAAAGUCAAAGGCUCAACCUUUGAAAGCCGGUGGAUACUGGAUGGCUAGAGUACGGAAGAGGCGAGUGGAAUUCCUGGUGUAGCGGUGAAAUGCGCAGAUAUUGGGAAGAACACCGGUGGCGAAGGCGGCGCUCUGGACCGAGACUGACGCUGAGGCGCGAAGGCGUGGGGAGCAAACAGG